rnacentral:tRNA from 1 species
UUCAAGGUAGUUUAUGCAAAACUGUCCACUGUCUAUGGGCAAAUGACACGUUAAAUGUCUCUUGGAG